rnacentral:misc_RNA from 1 species
GGAGUAGUGCUUUUGGAGUUGUUGACAGGGCGGCGGUCGGUGGAGAAGAGCAGCCGUAAGAGGCAACAGAACUUGGCAGAGUGGGCGAGGCCGAUGCUGAAUGAUCCAAGGAAGCUAAGCCGUAUAAUAGACCCAAGACUUGAAGGCCAAUACUCGGAAAUGGGAGCUCAGAAAGCAGCCACAUUGGCUUACCAAUGCUUGAGCCACCGCCCAAAGCAGAGGCCCACCAUGAGCGCCGUCGUCAAGGUAUUAGAGCCGCUUAAGGAUUUCGAUGACAUUUCUUCAGGCACCUUCGUUUAUACGGUUCUCGCCCAAAACGAUCUUCACAACAAACCAACGGGAAAUUCAACUUUAGAAGAAGCUAAAAAGUAAGGA